UGUCCUGUGGCCGAAUGGAUAAGGCGUCUGACUUCGGAUCAGGAGAUUGUAGGUUCAAGUCUUGUCAGGUUAG